rnacentral:rRNA from 1 species
GACGGAGGAUGCAAGUGUUAUCCGGAAUCACUGGGCGUAAAGCGUCUGUAGGUGGUUUAAUAAGUCAACUGUUAAAUCUUGAGGCUCAACCUCAAAAUCGCAGUCGAAACUAUUAGGCUAGAGUAUAGUAGGGGUAAAGGGAAUUUCCAGUGGAGCGGUGAAAUGCGUAGAGAUCAGGAAGAACACCGGUGGCGAAGGCGCUCUGCUAGGCCGUAACUGACACUGAGGGACGAAAGCUAGGGGAGCGAAUGGG